UGGAGAUUCGUAAUGAUAUGUUGGAGGAGGAGAAAUGAUUGGUGGUGGUGGUGGAUGUUGGUAAUAAUUUGGCGGGGGAGGUGGAGAUUUGUAAUAAUGUGGAGGAGGUGGUGAUGGUGAUGGAGGUGAUUUAUAAUAGUGAUGACGUCGCGGAGGCGGUGGUGGAGGUGAUUUAUAAUAGUGAUGACGUCGUGGAGGAGGAGGCGGGGGCGAUUUAUAAUAGUAACGACGUCGUGGAGGAGGUGGUGGAGGCGAUCGUGGCCUAUAACGGUAUGACAAAGAUGAUGAAUCAUCAAUGUGGGGCUUAUAAUCAGCUG